GUGGUGAUGUUUACCUGUGACUGCUGCACGAAGAGAAAUAAUCAAAUCUCAAUAUAAGCUCUUCUGUAUUCAUUUCAUUAAUUACACACUGUGGGGAUUUGCACUUCAUGUGAGGGAUAAAGUGCCUGAAAUAAAGAGUCUCCAUUCUGUUGGUCUGGUCCUUCCUGCUUCCACCUGGAAGUCACUCAUGUCUGGGAGUUGUAACUCAGCAAGAGCUACAUGGGAGUAUGCAUUCCACAUGUUAGGUACUUAACUGCAGCACAGUGAUAGCACAACCUGAUAGCAAAUACAGGGCUGUGGUAAAAUUUUCAUUCUGAAAGCUCAAAUGGCACAGGUGUAGUACAGCAUAUCCAGGGGAGAGAGAGUAUAGGCAGGGUCCUUACAAUGAGUACAGCCCCCCCAGCCCAGCCGCAUAGUCUGUUGUACAUGAAUUACUUCACUGUUUACUCCUAUAGUACUUACUCCAAUACAGGUAUUAAAUCUGGGCAGCCAGGAAUAACAGGACUGAGCAUGAGGAGAAAAAAACACAUUUAUUUUUUUUUUACACACUUAACUUAAACAGCACCACUAGUUACAAAGUUAUGGAAACUGUGCUGCUUUCUGAAUUUUACCACUACUUUCCUACAAAUCAUCUCUCAAAUAUGGCAUAUACUUAACAUUUAGUUAUUGUAUAGUUUAGGAAAACAGGUUGCUUUUGGUUAAUGACUUUGUCCUACAAUAGAAAAAUUUCCUGUGGAUUCUUAUGCAGGCACCUAGUGUGAGAUCAGUCGAGGUGCCACUCUCUGUCUUUUAUCUAAGAUCAGUGACCUCCCCUCCCAUGAUAGGAUCAGUGAAAAUCAACGCUGGCUGUCUGCACACACCCCCGACACAAGCAGCAGAAGCAGCAGCAGCAGCAGCAGGCUCACUGGAAUCAGAAUCGGGAUGAUUAAGGCACGCUUGUGUGUUGGGUUAAAACACUGGAGGAGGGGUACAGAGGAAGAAAAUAUAGGAAACGGAAGCCAACCAAAAGUGUAAUAGUAGCAGCAGUCUGUCCAACAGCAGCACCAGCAGAGGGACCCUCCUCUGAUCACCCCCCCUACUUGUCCUCAGCCCCAGUAGUAAUCAUACUAGUUAACACUAGGUGACUCGCAGCCUGCGCUCUGUUCUUGACUCCUGACUCUAAACCUGCAACAGCCUGGAUGCUGUAGGACCAUGCACAGCUGCCCCUUCACUGGCAAGUGCCUGCUGCCAAUGUGCCUCACCUUUCCUGGAAUUUCCAUCACAUUUACUGGCUGGAUUCUUGUGCUCUCUACUGUGGUUCGAAUGUCUCUGGCAUCCUCAUUCUUGACAGCAGCCUCUGGAUGCAAUAGGACCAUGCACAGCUGCCCCUCCACUGGCAAGUGCCUGCUGCCAAUGAGUCUCACCUUUUCUGAAAUUCCCAUCACAUUUAUUGGCUGGAUUCUUGUGCUCUCUACUGUGGUUCGAAUGUCUCUGGCAUCCUCAUUUUUGACAGGAUCUAUUGCCAAAUGUGAAAAUGAGGGAGAAGCCCUACAGAUUCCAUUUAUCACUGAUAACCCCUGUAUCUCCUGUGUUUGCCUGAACAAAGAAGUCACCUGCAAACGAGAGAAGUGCCCAGUACUCUCCAAGGAUUGCGCUUUGGUUGUAAAGCAAAGAGGAGCUUGCUGUGAACGCUGUAAAGGUUGCAACUACCAAGGCAGCCAUUACAACAGCUCAAUGAAAUGGAGAGACUCUGUCCAGCCUUGCAUUACUCGUCAGUGUCAGGAGGGUGUUAUUACAGAAUCUGAAGUUCAGUGUCUAGUCCACUGUAGAAAUCCACAAAGACAAUCGGGAUUGUGUUGCCCAACAUGUCCAGGUUGCAUAUACGAGGGCCGACAAUAUAAAGAAGGAGAUGAAUUUCAGCCAGAAGGGAAUAAAUGCCUCAAAUGUUCUUGCAUCGGAGGCAGGACACAGUGCAUAAAGGAAGUGUGUCCAAUCCUGUCAUGUCCCCAGCAUCUAAGUCACAUUCCCACAGGGCAGUGCUGUCCUAAAUGUAUAGGCCAAAGAAAGGUUUUUGACCUACCUUCGGGCAGUUGCCUUUUCCGAAGUGAUGUCUAUGACAAUCAUUCCACCUUUAUGUAUGACCGCUGCACUACCUGUUCCUGCAAGGACUCAACUGUUGUUUGCAAGAGGAAAUGCUCUCCUGUUGGAACAUGUAAUAGAGAUAAGGAACAAUGCUGUGAAGAUUGUGUCUCCCACGUAAUGGCUGAAGAAGUCAAAAUAUGCAAGUCUGGGAGCAAAAUAUUCAGGGAUGGAGAGAUGUGGUCUUCAUUUAAUUGCACUAUCUGUUCUUGUGUGAAAGGCAAGACUGAGUGUCGCAAAAAACAGUGUAUUCCAGUCAACAGCUGCCCACAAGGCAAAAUACUAAAUAGAAAAGGAUGCUGUCCUAUUUGCACUGAAAAACCUGGAGUAUGUACUGUAUUUGGGGACCCCCACUACAAUACUUUUGAUGGGAGAACCUUCAACUUUCAAGGAACCUGCCAGUAUGUUUUAACUAAAGACUGCUCCUCUUCUACCUCGUCCUUUCAAGUGCUGGUAAAAAAUGAUGCACGACGGACCCAUUCUUUUUCAUGGACAAAAUCAGUGGACCUAAUUAUGGGAGAGAGCAGUAUUAGCCUCCAGCAACAUCUUACAGUCAAAUGGAAUGGAACUCGAAUAUCAUUGCCCUAUGAAACACCUCAGUUUCAUAUUGAUCUUGAUGGAUAUCUUCUGAAAGUUACAACAAAAGCAGGUCUAGAAAUUUCAUGGGAUGGAGAUAGCUUUGUUGAAGUAAUGGCCGCUCCCCAUCUAAAAGGAAAGCUCUGUGGCUUGUGUGGUAACUACAAUGGACAUAAACGUGAUGAUCUGAUAGGAAGUGAUGGGGAUUUUAAGUUUGAUGUUGAUGACUUUGGAGACUCCUGGAGAGUAGAGUCAAACGAAUUCUGUAACCGUCCACAGAGAAAGACUAUACCUGAACUUUGCCAAGGAACUGUGAAAGUAAAACUCAGAGCUCACCGAGAAUGCCAAAAGCUGAAAUCUUGGGACUUUCAGAAUUGCCACUCCACAGUGGAUUAUGCAAUGUUCUAUAGAUCUUGUGUGACAGAUAUGUGUGAAUGCCCAGUGCAUAAAAAUUGUUACUGUGAAUCCCUAAUUGCCUACGCCAGAGCCUGUUUACGAGAAGGUGUGAAAGUACACUGGAAGCCAGAACACACUUGUGCAGCUAAAACACAGCAGCCUGAAGGAUCCCUAUUACUACGGAAAAAAAGAGCCACAAUUGGGUGAUGCUUAUAAAUGAUGGAUUCAAGAUUUCCAUUAUUUUUGCCAUUCUAGUUUUCAAACAUUUUCAACACAUUAUUCUUGUUGGCACCAUGCAACAUAUCAGUGGCAAAAUCCAGCGGUCCAGUGUAAACAUGGAGCAGUUUAUGAUACCUGUGGACCUGGGUGCCUCAAGACAUGUGAAAACUGGAAUGAGAUUGGUCCGUGCAAUAAACCUUGUGUGGCAGGAUGCCACUGUCCUGCUAACUUAGUGCUUCACAAAGGAAAAUGUAUCAAACCAGCUCUUUGCCCACAGCGGUGACAAUAAGCCUCCAUCAAGGACUUCUGAAGUUAUUUUUUAAAGCUCUCACCCAAUGAAGGACUCGACUGUUUAAACUUGUAAAAAUAUGUCAUGUUGAUACAGCCACACAAAAACAAUUAAUAUAAAUAUAUAUAUAUAUAUAUAUAUAUAAAUACAAAUACAGCCUUUAUAUAAGCAAAGAAGGAAAUUAUGUAUAUUUUUUGCUAUGAGGAUUAUGUAUUUUUUUGUUAGGAUUCUAUCCAUUAAGCUAUUUGAACAAUUGUAAAAAUAAAACAGAUGUUUUUAAUUUAAUAUAGUGGCAUGAAAAGAAAUAUUGGAUGGCUUUGCCAUGGCUAAAGAUCUAGUCUUUCUUCCUUUUUUUUUUUUUAAAAGAAGAAUUUUUGUGGCAGUAAACUUGCCAGACUGGAUUAUUUUCAGCAUAAAACAUGAAUUGACAUUUCAAUGGGGAAACAAGGGAUCUCUGGAGAUCGAGGAUUUGCUCAAAUGUGAGAGAAACUGAUUCAGUUGCUGAAACUUGAGUGAUGAACCAUUGAACAUAAGCCUUUAGAAAUGGACAGAUAUUCUUAUUUACGAAAAGAAAUAUAUUUUUAGGGCUUUCUAUGUUCUCAAACUCUUGUAUGGUGAAUAACUAAACAGAAAAAUAAUGUUGUCUAAUACAAUGUAAAAUUCCAAAUAUACGUUUUAGAAAACACUCAUGCCACACAUUUACUCAAUAAGACCAGCACUUUAGUGAUCCACCAGUUAUAGUAUUGACAUGCUGCUGGGAGCAAUAUAGUAAUGCAUCCACUAUAUUGCAGUUCUACUAGAUCACUGAACAAAUGAAAAUGUAAACUGUCUUUGUUCCACCACUGCUAAGGAUGGUCUGACCAAAUAUUGAACCACAGAUGGGGGCUAGAACCAAGUCUGAGAACCAUUCUCUGCACUUGUUCCUGAGAUGAUAUUAAAAUGCUUAAUGUGAUAUUGAUCAUAGAUCACAGCGUGAUUUUCAGAUGACAGCACCUAUUGUUAUCAGUCCAUGGGUUUCUGCAGUAAAGCCAUCAAUCAAAAUAAAGCUGUUUGCCUAGUGUAAGCCUGCAUACAAUCACUA